UACAGAGGGGGCAAGCGUUGCUCGGAAUUACUGGGCGUAAAGGGCGCGUAGGUGGGAUGGCAAGUCGGUCGUGAAAUCCCUCGGCUCAACCGAGGAACGUCGAUCGAUACUGCUGUUCUUGAGGAUUGCAGAGGAGACUGGAAUUCCCGGUGUAGCGGUGAAAUGUGUAGAGAUCGGGAGGAACACCGGUGGCGAAGGCGGGUCUCUGGGCAAUUCCUGACGCUGAGGCGCGAAAGCGUGGGGAGCAAACGGG
rnacentral:rRNA from 1 species